UACGGAGGGGGCGAGCGUUAUUCGGAAUCAUUGGGCGUAAAGGGCGCGUAGGCGGCUUUGUAAGUCCCGGGUGAAAUCCCUCGGCUCAACCGAGGAACUGCCUUGGAUACUGCAAAGCUCGAGGCUGGAAGAGGGCAGUGGAAUUCCCGGUGUAGCGGUGAAAUGCGUAGAUAUCGGGGAGGAACACCAGUGGCGAAGGCGGCUGCCUGGGCCAGUUCUGACGCUGAGG
rnacentral:rRNA from 1 species